rnacentral:sRNA from 2 species
GUGCAUCAGACGCUUGGUUAAUCGGUUCCUCCAACUUACUCGUUGUUAGCAGUGCUAACGAUCUUCUCUUCCGUCAGUAUAAUUUUUUUUUUGACUUUGUUCCGUUUGUUAAAUCGGGAACGAAGGUGCCGUUUGUCAUCUUUCCCUUAAGUUACUUGUCGUGCUUGGAGGAGGUUAUGCAUACUGUGCUUUCCUUAAGUUGUUUUGGAGAUCUAGCGCUUCACAGGCUAGACAAUAUUGGGGUUAAGGGAAUUACCCCGAAUCCGAUGGGUUGUCGCUGUCGUAAUGGGCGGGACAGCACUUGAUCAGG